rnacentral:misc_RNA from 1 species
UUUCCGUAGGUGAACCUGCGGAAGGAUCAUUAUUGUAUAACCGAGGUGCGAGGGCUGUCGCUGACCCGAAAGGUCGGUCACGCCCGAGUGCACUCACACACAUCCAUCUCACCCCUAUUUGCACCACCGCGUGGGUCCCCCUUUGACUUGUUCGGAGGGGGGCUUACGUUUUCACACAAACUUUGUAUGCAGUGUAGAAUGUAUUUUUUGUUUUUGCGAUCACGCAAUCAAUACAACUUUCAACAACGGAUCUCUUGGCUCUC